rnacentral:rRNA from 1 species
CCUACGGGAGGCUGCAGUGAGGAAUAUUGGUCAAUGGACGGAAGUCUGAACCAGCCAUGCCGCGUGCAGGAAGACGGCUCUAUGAGUUGUAAACUGCUUUUGUACAAGGGUAAACCUGAAUACGUGUAUUCAGCUGAAAGUACUGUACGAAUAAGGAUCGGCUAACUCCGUGCCAGCAGCCGCGGUAAUACGGAGGAUCCAAGCGUUAUCCGGAUUUGUUGGGUUUAAAGGGUGCGUAGGCGGAUUGAUAAGUUAGAGGUGAAAUGUCCGGGCUUAACUCGGGAACUGCCUCUAAUACUGUUGAUCUAGAGUGUAUAUGCGGUAGGCGGAAUGUAUGGUGUAGCGGUGAAAGGCUUAGAGAUCAUACAGAACACCGAUUGCGAAGGCAGCUUACCAAUCUAUAUCUGACGUUGAGGCACGAAAGCGUGGGGAGCAAACAGGAUUAGAUACCCCUGUAGUC